AUACGGUGUUAUAACAAAACAUUUUAUUAUUAUAUUUAAUUAUUAUAUUAUAAAAAUAUUAAAUUAAAAAAUUAGUAUAAAUAUUAUAAAAUUUUUAUAUUUAAUAAAAUUAAAUAAUAAAAAAUAAAAAAAAUUUAUUCAUUAAAUUAUUAGACUGUUUAACAAAAUCUUAUUUAUAAUUUUUAUAAUCUAUUCUGCUCAAUGAGAUUAUUUAAAUAGCUGUUAAUAACACUAAGGUAGCGAAAUCAUUAGCUACUUAAUUGGUAACUUGUAUGAAGGGACUAACUAAAAAUUUAUUUUAUAAAAAAUAUAAAUUAUAAAAUUGUUGAAAAUAACAAUAUUUAUUCCAAGAACA
rnacentral:rRNA from 1 species